AUACAUUUUUUCCUCAACUUCCUUUUUCGCUUUUGGGAAAUGUGCUGCUGCUUCUUGGCCAGAAUCCUCCAUCUCCCAUCCGUCACCUGCUUGGAACAGAAAGAAUAGAAAAAGCCAGAAGGUUUGGGGUUCAAUGGAUGCUCAGGCGGCCGGAGGGACCGGGGGCGAUCCCCCCCAGGAGCCGUUGUUUCGGGGCGUUGCUCAGGACGAGCCACCUCAGGAGGGAGCAUCAGAUAAUCAAGGAAGACUACAAAAGCUCUUUUUUCACAACUGGGACUUGCCUUUUGGAAUAACCUAUGGCAGAAGUGGGGAACUACGGGCCUUUUAGGACUGGUGGACUUCAACUCCCAGAAUACCUGACACAGCU